rnacentral:rRNA from 1 species
GGAUGAACGCUGGUGGUAUGCUUAACACAUGCAAGUCGAACGGGCUCUUCGGAGCUAGUGGCGGACGGGUGAGUAACGCGUGAGAAUCUGCCUUCAGGUUGGGGACAACAGUUAGAAAUGACUGCUAAUACCCAAUGUGCCUAGCGGUGAAAGAUUUAUCGCCUGAAGAGGAGCUCGCGUCUGAUUAGCUAGUUGGUGGGGUAAAAGCCUACCAAGGCAUCGAUCAGUAGCUGGUCUGAGAGGAUGAGCAGCCACACUGGAACUGAGACACGGUCCAGACUCCUACGGGAGGCAGCAGUGGGGAAUUUUCCGCAAUGGGCGAAAGCCUGACGGAGCAAUACCGCGUGAGGGAGGAAGGCUCUUGGGUUGUAAACCUCUUUUCUCAGGGAAGAAUAACUGACGGUACCUGAGGAAUAAGCAUCGGCUAACUCCGUGCCAGCAGCCGCGGUAAUACGGAGGAUGCAAGCGUUAUCCGGAAUCAUUGGGCGUAAAGCGUCCGCAGGUGGCCCUAUAAGUCUGCUGUCAAAGACCGGAGCUUAACUCUGGAAAGGCGGUGGAAACUGUAGAGCUAGAGUACGGUAGGGUAGAGGGGAAUUCCCAGUGGUAGCGGUGAAAUGCAUAGAGAUUGGGAAGAACACCGGUGGCGAAAGCGCUCUACUGGGCCGUAACUGACACUCAGGGACGAAAGCUAGGGUAGCGAAAGGGAUUAGAUACCCCUGUAGUCUUAGCUGUAAACGAUGGAUACUAGGCGUAGCUUGUAUCGACCCGAGCUGUGCCGAAGCAAACGCGUUAAGUAUCCCGCCUGGGGAGUACGCACGCAAGUGUGAAACUCAAAGGAAUUGACGGGGGCCCGCACAAGCGGUGGAGUAUGUGGUUUAAUUCGAUGCAACGCGAAGAACCUUACCAGGACUUGACAUGUCGCGAAUUCUGGGGAAACUCGGAAGUGCCUUCGGGAGCGCGAACACAGGUGGUGCAUGGCUGUCGUCAGCUCGUGUCGUGAGAUGUUGGGUUAAGUCCCGCAACGAGCGCAACCCUCGUCCUUAGUUGCCAGCAUUAAGUUGGGCACUCUGGGGAGACUGCCGGUGACAAACCGGAGGAAGGUGGGGAUGACGUCAAGUCAGCAUGCCCCUUACGUUCUGGGCUACACACGUACUACAAUGGUUGAGACAAAGGGCAGCGAGCGAGCGAUCGUAAGCGAAUCUCAUCAAACUCAGCCUCAGUUCAGAUUGCAGGCUGCAACUCGCCUGCAUGAAGGAGGAAUCGCUAGUAAUCGCAGGUCAGAAUACUGCGGUGAAUCCGUUCCCGGGCCUUGUACACACCGCCCGUCACACCAUGGAAGCUGGCCACGCCCGAAGUCGUUACCCUAACCCGUAUGGGAGGGGGAUGCCGAAGGCAGGGCUAGUGACUGGGGU